GCCUUGUUGGCUUAGUCAGUUGAGCAUUAGACUCAUAUAGUUGCUCCUCCCAGGUAGGACCAUUAAGCUUGUGGGUUCAAUUCCUACCUGAGGCA